GACGAACGCUGGCGGCGUGCUUAACACAUGCAAGUCGAACGGAAAGGCCCUGCUUUUGUGGGGUGCUCGAGUGGCGAACGGGUGAGUAACACGUGAGUAACCUGCCCUUGUCUUUGGGAUAACUUCAGGAAACUGGGGCUAAUACCGGAUAGGAGCUCCUGCUGCACGGUGGGGGUUGGAAAGUUUCGGCGGUUGUGGAUGGACUCGAGGCUUAUCAGCUUGUUGGUGGGGUAGUGGCUUACCAAGGGUUUGACGGGUAGCCGGCCUGAGAGGGGGGCCGGGCACAAGGGGACUGAGGGACGGCCCAGUAGCCUACGGGAGGCAGCAGUCGGGAGUAUUGCGCAGUGGGCGGAAGCCUGAUGCAGCGACGCCGCGUGCGGGAUGACGGCCUUCGAGGGAUAAACCGCUUUCGCCUGUGACGAAGCGUGAGUGACGGUAAUGGGUAAAGAAGCACCGGCUAACUACGUG
rnacentral:rRNA from 1 species